AUUGAACGCUGGCGGCAUGCUUUACACAUGCAAGUCGAACGGCAGCGCGGGCUUCGGCCUGGCGGCGAGUGGCGAACGGGUGAGUAAUACAUCGGAACGUGCCCAGUAGUGGGGGAUAGCUCGGCGAAAGCCGGAUUAAUACCGCAUACGACCUGAGGGUGAAAGCGGGGGAUCUUCGGACCUCGCGCUAUUGGAGCGGCCGAUAGCAGAUUAGCUAGUUGGUGGGGUAAAGGCCUACCAAGGCGACGAUCUGUAGCUGGUCUGAGAGGACGACCAGCCACACUGGGACUGAGACACGGCCCAGACUCCUACGGGAGGCAGCAGUGGGGAAUUUUGGACAAUGGGCGAAAGCCUGAUCCAGCAAUGCCGCGUGUGUGAUGAAGGCCUUCGGGUUGUAAAGCACUUUUGGCGGGAACGAAAAGGACUGUGCCAAUACCACGGUUCGAUGACGGUACCCGCAGAAUAAGCACCGGCUAACUACGCG
rnacentral:rRNA from 1 species